UACGUAGGGUGCGAGCGUUGUCCGGAAUUAUUGGGCGUAAAGAGCUUGUAGGCGGUUUGUCGCGUCUGCCGUGAAAAUCCGAGGCUCAACCUCGGACUUGCGGUGGGUACGGGCAGACUAGAGUGUGGUAGGGGAGACUGGAAUUCCUGGUGUAGCGGUGAAAUGCGCAGAUAUCGGGAAGAACACCCGUGGCGAAGGCGGCUCUCUGGGACGGUACUGACGCUGAGACGCGAAAGCGUGGGGAGCGAACAGG
rnacentral:rRNA from 1 species